AGAGUUUGAUCCUGGCUCAGAAUGAACGUUGGCGGCGUGGAUUAGGCAUGCAAGUCGUGCGAGAAAGAUCUGGUGCUUGCAUUGGAUCUGGACAGCGGCGAAAGGGAGAGUAACAUGUGGGUUACCUACCCCUGAGUACAGGAUAGCUGCGGGAAACUGCAGGUAAUACCGUAUAACAUCUCAGGAUCAAAGCUUCGGCGCUUGGGGACGGGCCCGCAUACUAUUAGCUUGUUGGUGGGGUAAUGGCCUACCAAGGCUAAGAUGGUUACCGGGUGUGAGAGCAUGGCCCGGCUCACUGGGACUGAGACACUGCCCAGACACCUCCGGGUGGCUGCAGUCGAGAAUCUUCGGCAAUGGACGAAAGUCUGACCGAGCGACGCCGCGUGCGGGAUGAAGGCCUUCGGGUUGUAAACCGCUGUCAGAGGGAAGGAAAUUUUGACCGAUCCUCAAAGGAAGUACGGGCUAAGUUCGUGCCAGCAGCCGCGGUAAGACGAACCGUACAAACGUUAUUCGGAAUCACUGGGCUUAAAGGGUGCGUAGGUGGUCUACUAAGUUGGGUGUGAAAUCCCUCGGCUCAACCGAGGAACUGCGCUCAAUACUGGUAGACUUGAGGGAGACAGAGGUGAGCGGAACUGAUGGUGGAGCGGUGAAAUGCGUUGAUAUCAUCGGGAACACCUGUGGCGAAAGCGGCUCACUGGGUCUCUUCUGACACUGAGGCACGAAAGCCAGGGGAGCGAACGGGAUUAGAUACCCUGGUAGU
rnacentral:rRNA from 1 species